AAAAUAUUUAUUUAUUUUAAUUUAUGUGUAUGAGUAUACUGUAACUGUAGAUGGUUGUGAGCCAUCAUGUGUCUGCUGAGAAUUGAAUUCAGGCCCUGCUCACUCUGGCCCAAAGAUUUUAUUUAUUAUUAUAUGUAAGUACAUUGUAGCUGUCUUCAGACACACCAGAAGAGGAUGUCAGAUCUCAUUACAGAUGUUUGUGAGCCACCAUGUGGUUGCUGGGAUUUGAACUCAGGACUUUCAGAAGAGCAGUCAAUGCUCUUAACUGCUGAGCCAUCUCUCCAGCCCUUAAACACAUUUCUUGACAACCCGGGCUUUAUAUAAUACCUGGUCAGAAAGGUGUUUCUUACUCUAAGACAAUAUAAAAAGAUUUGCUAUGUUUUUAUCAAAAAACCUUGAAUGUGUGUGUGUUAUACAAAGCCACCACAAUAUAAAUGGCCAUUUAUUACUUAGAUGCUUACUGAAGGGCACAUAUUCUUGGAUUCCCUAAGAUACUGGAGAGCCACAGACCAACAUCAUCUCUGUGGGGCCUCCUCAUGAAAACCUGUUUUUCUUCUCUAGAUUCCAUUACCUCAACCAUUUGAACCACGUUUCAUUUCCUCCUCCUCUUCUUCAUCCUCCCUUUCCUCCUCUUCCUCCUCCUCCUCUUAUUUCUAACUUCAUUCUUUUUUUUAAUAAAAAAAUGAAUUUACGUAGAAGCAUUCAAAAUGUCAACAAAACAGCUGCAAUUUUUUUUCCAAUUACAGAGUUCAGUUAACAGAACAACAAUUAUCUCUGUAUAAACUGCAUCAGAGACAACUGAAGAUGAAAAAAAAAAAAAACCAAAAGAACAAAAACCAAACUACUGUCCCCAUAUAUAACUAAUUUGUGCUGUACACCAACAAGAACCUGCUUUAAAUUUCCAUGCAAAUUUACAACCCCCAGACUGUACCAGGCAAGAUUAGUGGCUAUUGAAAAUACCACCAGGACAGGGCUAUCUAAAGACACAUUCGGUAGUGUGUUAACUAUACAAAAAGGACACUGUACAGUUUAAAAACAUAUCUUACACAGCCUUACAUUUCAAUUUUUUCUUUAAAAGGAGUGAGUUGUGUACAGGGGUUAGCAGAUAUGGUUAAAUGCUUUAUAGACAAGGGAAAAAAACUGCGCUGGAACCAACUUAUCCAUCGUCAUCAUCAUCAUCUUCUUCAUCUUUGUCUUCCUCCUCUUCAUCAUCCUUUUCAUCCUCUUCAUCAUCUUCCUCUUCCUUCUUUUUCUUGCUCUUUUCAGCCUUGACCACCCCCUUUUUCGCUGCAUCAGGUUUUCCUUUAGCUCUGUAGGCAGCAAUAUCCUUCUCGUACUUCUCCUUCAGCUUGGCAGCCUUCUUCUCAUAGGGCUGCUUGUCAUCUGCUGCAGUGUUGUUCCACAUCUCUCCUAGUUUCUUUGCAACAAUGGAUAAGCCAGGAUACUCGUAUUCAGAACAGAACAAGAAGAAGGCUGAAGGAAGCCUCUUGGGUGCAUUGGGGUCCUUGAACUUCUUUUUGGUCUCCCCUUUCGGGGGAUGUAGGUUUUUUAUUUCUCUUUCAUAACGAGCCUUGUCAGCCUUUGCCAUAUCUUCAAAUUUCCCCCUUUCUUUAGCAGAUAUGGUCUUCCACCUCUCUGAGCACUUCUUGGAGAACUCUGAGAAGUUGACAGAAGCAUCCGGUUGCUUCUUCUUGUGCUCCUCCUGGCAGGUUUGUGCAAAGAAUGCAUAUAAGGACAUCUGCCUCUCGACUUCUUAGGAUCUCCUUUGCCCAUGUUUAGUUGAUUUUCUUCCGAGAGGCACAGAGUCACCUCUAUGGAGCCCAAUAUACUGCAAUGGCUGUGACAGCGGGAGCCAGAUGCCCUAACUUCAUUUUUUUUUUUUUUUUUUUGGUUUUAUUCGAGACAGGGUUUCUCUGUGUAGCCCUGGCUGUCCUGGAACUCACUCUGUAGACCAAGCUGGCCUCGAACUCAGAAAUCCUCCUGCCUCUGCCACCCAAGUGCUGGGAUUAAAGGCGUACGCCACCACUGGCUGGCCCUAUCUUCAUUCUUGAUACCAGAUUCUUAAAUGGCCCCUGCAACUUCACGUGCACAUUAAAAUGUCAGUGCCCCAAACAGAUGUGAUACCUUAAGGCUAUGACCAAUUCUAAGUUUAGCAGAAGAAUACUUUCCUAGCUCUUGGAUGUCAUAGGCCUAUUAAUACAUUUCACUAUCACAAUCACAUGCCUGAUUCUGGCAGC
rnacentral:lncRNA from 1 species